GACUCUCCUGAGCCCCACACAGCAGAACGCUUCAUCCGCUUGUCGUGGCACCCAAAGACUUUUCCUCCCCUGACACCUCCAUCCCUACCCCAUAAGAGCCCCCCCCCGCCCCUCCCUGGGCUGUUCCUCUGGGGCAUCUACAACAACCAGAGCCUUCCAGGUAGUCCACACAAAAGUCUCUCCAGGUCUUAUGUGGGCCGGAGCUAGGGGCGAGGGCAGGAAAGCCUCAGCCCCAGGGAAGAGGCCGCCAUCUGUCAACCCUGGAUGAGAUGUGCACCAGCCUGAAAGCAGAGGAAGGGACAAAAUGACCUCGGGAGCCUUCCAGCCCCAGAGCUGCCAUUGGCUUGCUGGAUGAAGGACAUUAAAUAUUUGGCAAGUGCUCAGCAAGAAUAGAUGGGAGAACCCAUAGCCAGGACCUCAAACCAGGGACUAGGAGAGGGCAGGGCCCUCUGCCUCACCCUGGCUGGGCCUGUUCCCUCAUUAGGACCCAGGCACUGUCAAUUACCACCAGGCAUGGUGAAGAGGAAAACCAAUCUAUAGGGAGAUGUGCCCUCUCCAAAACGUUAUGGCAGGGACAGUAAGGAAAUGUUGUUUCCCAAGCCAAGGUUCAGGCCUAUUUGAAGGUUUAAUGUGGUAAAAGGUCUGGGGUGGGCUGGGAAGAGGAGGGCUAAAUAAUUCAGAAAGCAAAUGGAGAAGUGGCUGUUGAUGAUGCUGACCGAGGCUUGUGUAACUGGCUGGGCUCAGCAGCAUCCUCAGGCUCCUGGGAGAAAGGGCACAAGUGGGGAUUUGGGGAGACAGAGGCAGGAGUGAGCACACAGCCGGCCGGUAGAAUAGCUUGACAGGUUUUGCUUCUCAAGGCACUUUCACAAGCCCCCUCCUCCCCAGGGCCCUAUGAGGCAAGCAGGGCAGGUAAGGAGACUCUGGAGGCUGACCCCCCAGGCCUGCAGCCCAGGACCUCAUGAGCAGCACAGCCCAGACAGGAAGUCCUCCCACUGCGUGGGGUCCUUACUUUCACACCACUUUCCUCUCUUCCACCUCCUGAUCCCUGGGACAGUCCUGUGAGAUACGUCAAGGAUCGCUGAGCCUGGAGUAGCCAAAAGACCUGGGUUUUGAGCAUGGUUUUGGCACAGCUAAGCUCAACCCAGGAACAUGAGAAGAAAGUGCCACCUUGCCCUAUCUGCACCCCGGAGACCUAUGGGGAGGAGAAUCCUGUCUUCUGGCUCCUUCUCUUGUCUGGACCCAAAAGCAGGAAGCCCAUCAGUGUUUAAUGAAGCCAGGACCAACCUAAUUAUCAGGGGCGCUUGUGUUAAUAAGCACCUUUCAAUCCAUGCAGGGAGCUAAUACAGACAGAAUAAAAAGGGAAGAAAAGUCAUUAGCUUGAAAUGUCUGGGCCCCUACCUGGGCUGAGCCCCAUGAAGUCAUUAUGGGUAGUUACGGGCUCUAACCACCACACGCAGUCCCAGGCAGGUACAGAUAAUGAUAGGGGAGCAUGUGGCCCCUCUGGGGUAGAUAAGUCAUCAAAAAGGACAGCUUUUUGUUUUUCGUUCUCUUCCAUCCUGUUUCUUUGAGGGCCCCCACCAGCCCCUCCCCUGCACAGUCUGGUUUCAUCCCUUUAUUUAGAAACAUCUGGUUUCUAAAUAAAAGGAAAGAGUCCAACUUUCCUUUUAUUUAGAAACAGGAGUCAUCGUACUCUGAGAUUCUGUAACUGAGUAUUCUGGAAGCAUUAAGAGCUUUCCUGAUUCUCCCCUCCACUCACUCUGAGCCAGGGGUUGCUUGACUGGGGAGAAGCAGUGAAGAUGGUGGAAAGUCAGUUAGACUUUGCUGAUGGACUGGAUGGGGGCAGGGAAAUUGGUGGCACACGUCUGUAAUCCCACCUACUUGGGAGACUGAGGCAGGAGAAUCACUUAAACCAGGGAGGUAGAGGCUGCAGUGAGCCGA
rnacentral:lncRNA from 10 species